GGCCAGUUGCGGGAGGCCUUCGGGCGGUGGAGGGGGGAGGGGGAGGCCUUCGGGCGGUGUGGGCCACGGGGAGGGUGGUCUUCGGACUACGUGCCGGACGGGAGAUCAGGGCUGGGACGUCCCUCAGGCCUCCCUCCUUGCCCCAGCUUCGCAGGGGCCUAACUGCCCCGCUCCAGGGGUGCCACCGGACCCCGCUGGAGAGGAACUUUUCCGUUGGCUGGAUUUAAUCAACCCCCAUUCCCGGUUCCACGUUUCCUUUAAGUGCGGCUAGUGGGGCUGACAGGGCCGCAAGGCGGCAAGGAACUGGAUUGCGAUUGGUUAGCGCGUGCCUCGGUCGGCGGUACAAUUGGCUGAGGCGCUGGGUCUUGGGCAGCAUUCCCCGACGGGAUUGGUCGCCGCUUUCCCAGAGCCCGCCUUCCGCAGUACAAGCGGACCCCGGGUCGGGUGGGAGGAGGGGCCUCCGGGACGAAGAACAUGGCGGCGGCGGACCUCGCUCACAUUCCUGAUGUGGACAUCGACUCCGACGGCGUCUUCAAGUAUGUGCUGAUCCGAGUCCACUCGGCUCCGCGCUCCGGCGCUCCGGCUGCGGAGAGCAAGGAGAUCGUGCGCGGCUACAAGUGGGCCGAGUACCAUGCGGACAUCUACGACAAAGUGUCGGGCGACAUGCAGAAGCAGGGCUGUGACUGUGAGUGUCUGGGCGGCGGGCGCAUCUCCCACCAGAGCCAGGACAAGAAGAUUCACGUGUACGGCUACUCCAUGGUGAGCCGCAGCCCCGUCCCGCCCUGCUGGAGGCCCCGGUUCCAGCUUCGAGGCCCACCUGAGUCUGCUGCCCUGACCCGUGGCCCCAGAUGAGCACGCAGGCUUCCCGGGGUUCUCCCAGGGUGGGCGGCAGAGCCCUCCUUCCAGGGCCAGUUGCGUUCCUGCAUUCCCCCAUGGAGCACAUGCCAGACCUGAGGGGCGGGAGGGAGACCCCCAGACAUGGCCUGCCGUUCCCUCUCCCUGCCCCGGGAGGCCUUGCUGGGCUCUAGCUGUCCUCCAGCACUUUGCGCCCUGGGCCCCCAGAGGCAGUCAGUACCUGGGUGGAGUUCAGAGUCCCCGCCCGUGCUCUUCACAAAAACCACCAGCAGAUGAGAACCACGUGCGUCCCUCUGGGUGCCUCAAGGGUGCCUCAAGCCCCAGGAUCCACCCUCAAGGCCUAUGGUCCUGCCCAGCAUGCCAUUUCAACUGAGAAAAUCAAAGCCAAGUACCCCGACUACGAGGUUACCUGGGCUAACGAUGGCUACUGAGCACUCCCAGCCUGGGGCCUGCUACCUCCAGCAGCCAUGUCGGAGCCCCCGCCUUUGCCUGCACCCCUUUUGGGGCUAGCCCUGCCUGCUUCUGCGGCAGCCCCUGGUGACGUGCCGUCUGCCAGGCUUUGCAGACAGGCUAGCUUGACCACAGAAUUAAACGUGUUGCCACGCC